rnacentral:rRNA from 1 species
UACGUAGGGGGCUAGCGUUGUCCGGAUUUAUUGGGCGUAAAGAGCGUGUAGGCGGCCAGGUAGGUCUGCUGUGAAAACUCGAGGCUCAACCUCGAGAUGUCGGCGGAAACCAUCUGGCUAGAGUCCGGAAGAGGAGAGUGGAAUUCCCAGUGUAGCGGUGAAAUGCGCAGAUAUUGGGAAGAACACCAGUGGCGAAGGCGGUUCUCUGGGACGGUACUGACGCUGAGACGCGAAAGCGUGGGGAGCGAACAGG